UUUUGGCAUGCCACCCUGAAUGCACCCAAUCUCAUCGGAACUCAGAAGCUACACAGGGUUGGGCCUGGUUAGUACUUGAAUGGGAGAUAAGGUCCUACAGAAU
rnacentral:rRNA from 1 species